rnacentral:rRNA from 1 species
UACGAAGGGUGCAAGCGUUACUCGGAAUUACUGGGCGUAAAGCGUGCGUAGGCGGUUUGUUAAGUCCGCUGUGAAAGCCCUGGGCUCAACCUGGGAAUUGCAGUGGAUACUGGCAAGCUAGAGUCCGGAAGAGGAGAAUGGAAUUCCUGGUGUAGCGGUGAAAUGCGCAGAUAUCAGGAAGAACACCCCGUGGCGAAGGCGGUUCUCUGGGACGGUACUGACGCUGAGACGCGAAAGCGUGGGGAGCGAACAGG